GAAGCUGGGGUGCCGUAUCAAAACGGCUGAGAGGGCGAGAAGCCUAACCCAUUGAACCUGUUGGUUAGUACCAUCGUAGGGAAGCUGAU
rnacentral:ncRNA from 1 species